rnacentral:rRNA from 1 species
AUUGAACGCUGGCGGCAGGCCUAACACAUGCAAGUCGAGCGAGCGGCGGACGGGUGAGUAAUGUAUGGGGACUGCCCGAUAGAGGGGGAUAACUACUGGAAACGGUGGCUAAUACCGCAUACUGUCGGAUAACCCAUCUGGUAUCAGCUAGUAGGUAAGGUAAUGGCUUACCUAGGCGACGAUCCCUAGCUGGUCUGAGAGGAUGAUCAGCCAACAUGGGACUGAGGAACGGCCCCGAAUCCAAGGGGGGGCGCAGUGGGGAAUAUUGCACAAUGGGCGCAAGCCUGAUGCAGCCAUGCCGCGUGUAUGAAGAAGGCCCUAGGGUUGUAAAGUAUUUUCAGUCGGGAGGCGUUACCGACAGAAGAAGCACCGGCUAACUCCGUGCCAGCAGCCGCGGUAAUAC